CGCUACCGUCCUGGUCCGUGGAUCAGAAAGUUGCAAUUCUUACCGAGCCACAGAUCAGAUAACGACGGAAAAGCUAGGCCGUUUGUCGCAUGUUUCCUCUCAAGAACAGCUUCGUCCCCCUUUCGUCUACGAGUGAGCUGCUCGUGGCGGCGGCGCUAAUUUCGGCCACCCGCGGCCAAGGAAAAUGGAGGACGCUGGUGUGGAGUUUCUUCUGGACGCUGUCGACAGGUUCCCGCCGCGGGAGGAGUACGCGGACAACAUUGAACAUAGAUCCGGUUCCUCUGGUCUUGUUGCCCACAAGGGAAACCAAUCGUGGAGACCCUGAAGACUCAAAUGUCGGGUCUGGCUGCGGGCAAUGGCUCGGCGACGAUGGAGCUGACAAAGCACGAGACGGAGUUCGCCGACGUUCAGAUUCAUCUCCGACCAUGUCAGCGCAGUCAACUGACAAAGUCAACCCACAGGCCCCAAGUUGGAAAAAAAAGGUUGUGGCUGGGUAGUGCACCGACAAACCGAACAACGUGACCGUCUCGCAUUAGUACUCUUUAGCGGUCAAUUCGCAAAUAGGCGGAGGAACUGACAAAGAGUGUCGUACGACCAGCACUUGGCCUGAGUUUUGAUUCACUUGAUAAAACCUGAAAACUACUUUGACAAUUGAAGAUUUUUGGCAUCCGGUUGCCGGGAGCCAGGUGGCUUCUUGUUACAUGAAUCACUGUGAGCAGCUCAGAGCCUAAUUGUUGCUGGCAGACAGAACCAAGGUGCGGCAGAAGCAAACGAAGAGGACCAGCCUGGACCAGGAACUUCUAAUGGUGCAGGACAUCAAAACGGGAAAACUAUAAUGGAAGAAAUCUCAGAUUCCUUGAGCAGCGAUAGUGAUGGCAAUGGCGGUGAUCCAAACGAUAGCAUUAUCAGAGAGUAGAAGACAGAGGUUUGCCAUGCAAAUUUAGUGGUUUUGCUUCUUGUAAUUGUUGUGCUGACAUUUAACGUUUAUACAAACUUAAUAAAGGUCAACCCCUAGGGCUACAGAGUUCGCAGGGAAGCCUCCGUAUUAGGAAUGAUGUGGAAGGUGGCCAUGUCACAGGUGCACAUGACAGGUUUUGCGCCACGGGGUAUGAUGAGGCUGAGGCAAAGACUGCAGUUGAGGGACGGUGGUGACCAUGGAGCCGGUAGCAGCGGUGCCGCUGCCGGGGCUGAUCUUACUGAAGAAAACGGUGAGCAUCAAAGCAGGGAGGCACAGAGGACAUGGAACGAAAUGGCAGUUGUUGAGGAGCAAGCAAAGAUAGACCUUGAAUUGAGGGGUGGUGCAGCAAACAGUGGUGCGUUAGGGGCUUCCAGUGGACCUCCAGACGAAGAACACUAGCAACGUGUGUGCAGCCUGGCUGCGGCAGCUCUAUACUUAGUGGACAGAGCAAUAGACAAUUCCAUUCUCGCCUGUGCACAUUGCUAUGUCCUUUAUUGUUUUGCAUGUAGCAACCGGUGCAUUGCCGACAAACAUGCAUCUUUGAUCAAGCAAGGGCUCUGCUGUCAAGGCUGGGCGUAUGGAGAUAUUGGACAUGCUGCCUCUCCUGGAGGCCAAGAGAAAGGUGGAGAAACGGGAGAAGCUAGAGACGGCGUUGCUAAUGACGACAUUAAUUGGGAAGAACUGAAGAAUGAAAGCCGGGAAGCACCACCAAUGACAACUCAAGAACAAAUGGAUACUGAUAAUUAAUUUGCAUGAAAUCUUGAUCAUUAUGCAAUGGCAUAGAGCUGGACGUUGAAUUGAUGAAGAUCACAUAGAUUCGAUGUGGCAUCGAAGGUGCCAACAAAUUACAUGGGAGAGCAAGUUGCAUCAGGGGGAGAGUCCGAUACAAUUGAUGAAGAUCACAUAGAUUCGAUGCUGGCCUCCUUGAACAUGUGCAUUCCCCGGAUUGCGUGGACUGGAGCAAUGAUGGUGGUUGGGAGUGGCAGGCCUGGAGACGACGUGGACGAAGAUCCUCCGUGCAAUGGUGUGAUACUGCUUGGCUGGCAUAGUGAAGACCGUGAAGCAGAAGCUGAGUCUAGCAGCGAAGGUGUCCGUGCUAACCAGAAGCGGAAAAUCCUGUCGCCGCUUUGUGGAUGUGGUUACAAACUGUCGGCCUGGACUGUUUCAUCGAGAUGAUGAAGGUAUUCGUCCUUCCUAGGCAGGCAGAAUUGCUGUAACUAUGAUCCGGUGCCCAGCUGCUAAACAUUGUAUUAAGUGAAAAAAUUGGCCUCAGAUAGCGGAAAAAAAAUAGAGCUCUUGGGAUGCAGUACAAAA